rnacentral:rRNA from 1 species
AAUGAACGUUGGCGGCGUGGAUUAGGCAUGCAAGUCGAGCGGGCCAGCAAUGGCCAGCGGCGAAAGGGACAGUAACACGUAGAUCACCUACCCUCAGGGCCGGGAUAGCCACGGGAAACUGUGGAUAAUACCGGAUAAUGUCUUCGGACCAAAGGUGUGAUUCCACCUGAGGAUGGGUCUGCGUCCUAUUAGCUUGUUGGUGAGGUAACGGCUCACCAAGGCGAUGAUGGGUAGUGGGUGUGAGAGCACGACCCGCGUCACUGGGACUGAGAUACUGCCCAGACACCUACGGGUGGCAG